rnacentral:rRNA from 1 species
GAUGAACGCUGGCGGCGUGCCUAAUACAUGCAAGUCGAGCGAACGGACGAGAAGCUUGCUUCUCUGAUGUUAGCGGCGGACGGGUGAGUAACACGUGGAUAACCUACCUAUAAGACUGGGAUAACUUCGGGAAACCGGAGCUAAUACCGGAUAAUAUUUUGAACCGCAUGGUUCAAAAGUGAAAGACGGUCUUGCUGUCACUUAUAGAUGGAUCCGCGCUGCAUUAGCUAGUUGGUAAGGUAACGGCUUACCAAGGCAACGAUGCAUAGCCGACCUGAGAGGGUGAUCGGCCACACUGGAACUGAGACACGGUCCAGACUCCUACGGGAGGCAGCAGUAGGGAAUCUUCCGCAAUGGGCGAAAGCCUGACGGAGCAACGCCGCGCGAGUGAUGAAGGUCUUCGGAUCGUAAAACUCUGUUAUUAGGGAAGAACAUAUGUGUAAGUAACUGUGCACAUCUUGACGGUACCUAAUCAGAAAGCCACGGCUAACUACGUGCCAGCAGCCGCGGUAAUACGUAGGUGGCAAGCGUUAUCCGGAAUUAUUGGGCGUAAAGCGCGCGUAGGCGGUUUUUUAAGUCUGAUGUGAAAGCCCACGGCUCAACCGUGGAGGGUCAUUGGAAACUGGAAAACUUGAGUGCAGAAGAGGAAAGUGGAAUUCCAUGUGUAGCGGUGAAAUGCGCAGAGAUAUGGAGGAACACCAGUGGCGAAGGCGACUUUCUGGUCUGUAACUGACGCUGAUGUGCGAAAGCGUGGGGAUCAAACAGGAUUAGAUACCCUGGUAGUCCACGCCGUAAACGAUGAGUGCUAAGUGUUAGGGGGUUUCCGCCCCUUAGUGCUGCAGCUAACGCAUUAAGCACUCCGCCUGGGGAGUACGACCGCAAGGUUGAAACUCAAAGGAAUUGACGGGAACCCGCACAAGCGGUGGAGCAUGUGGUUUAAUUCGAAGCAACGCGAAGAACCUUACCAAAUCUUGACAUCCUUUGACAACUCUAGAGAUAGAGCCUUCCCCUUCGGGGGACAAAGUGACAGGUGGUGCAUGGUUGUCGUCAGCUCGUGUCGUGAGAUGUUGGGUUAAGUCCCGCAACGAGCGCAACCCUUAAGCUUAGUUGCCAUCAUUAAGUUGGGCACUCUAAGUUGACUGCCGGUGACAAACCGGAGGAAGGUGGGGAUGACGUCAAAUCAUCAUGCCCCUUAUGAUUUGGGCUACACACGUGCUACAAUGGACAAUACAAAGGGCAGCGAAACCGCGAGGUCAAGCAAAUCCCAUAAAGUUGUUCUCAGUUCGGAUUGUAGUCUGCAACUCGACUACAUGAAGCUGGAAUCGCUAGUAAUCGUAGAUCAGCAUGCUACGGUGAAUACGUUCCCGGGUCU